AGAGAGAGACAUGCGCGCAUAUCAAUAAGCGGAGGAAAAGAAACUAACAAGGAUUCCCCUAAGUAACGGCGAGUGAAGCGGGAAGAGCUCAAAUUUGAAAUCUUAAAGGGUUUCCCUUUACGAAUUGUAGUUUAAAGAAGUGUUUUCUGUUGAGGUUUUGGUAAAAGUUCUUUGGAAUAGGACAUCAUAGAGGGUGAGAAUCCCGUAUUUGACCUUUACUUUCAACUUUGUGAUACACUUUCAAAGAGUCGGAUUGUUUGGGAAUGCAGUCCAAAAUGGGUGGUAAAUUUCAUCUAAAGCUAAAUAUUGGCGAGAGACCGAUAGCGAACAAGUACCGUGAGGGAAAGAUGAAAAGAACUUUGAAAAGAGAGUUAAACAGUACGUGAAAUUGUCAAAAGGGAAGCGUUUGACACCAGUGUUGUUUUUCUGAAAAUCAAUUAAAGAACUGUUUAUGCUAAGUUGUUUAGACUUUAUCAGCUAACUGUUUAGUUUUGAGCUUUUCUUUAAUGCACUUUUCAGUUAACAAGUCAACAUCAAUUUCUUUUGCUGUAAAAAAGCUUGAGGAAGGUGGCUUGAGAUUCGUCUUAAGUGUUUAUAGCCUCUUGCCUAUGCAGUCGGAGAGAUUGAGGUCUGCAGCGUAGAUCCUUCGGGGCUAAAUGCAUUUGUGCUAAGUUAUAGCAUUUUAUAGACAACUUGUUGACUAUGAUUUGUCUUGUAGCUUACUCGCUUAUGUUAUUUUACCUACGCUUAGGAUGUUGAGCGCAUGUCUCUCUCU
rnacentral:rRNA from 1 species